rnacentral:lncRNA from 1 species
UUAGCUAGACGUUAUACUUCCUUGUUUGAUUUUUCACACCGUGCUACAGAAAUUUAUUUCGAUGAAAGAUAUUCGUCUAGUUUCUGUUUGGUUAUCGUGGAGGAGAACUGUUGUCAGUGACAAGUGCAACUUUGUAAUAACUACCUAUCAGUCAUAAGCUUGGAUUUGGUGAUGUUUGUAUUAUCUUAAGUUGAAGGGGUGAAUAGGAAAACAGUGAAAAUUUAUGGAGAAGAAGCUAUUGGGAUGUCUGAGGUUCAUACUAAUUCAAACUUCAUUCAAUAAUAUUUGAUGUUAGACCCUGUAGUUGUGAACUUCAAUCAAUCGUGUCUGAUAUUAGCCCCUCGUAGUUACGAACUUCAGUCAAUCGUAUGUGAUAACAGCCCCUCACAGUUGCAAACUUGGGUUCAUCGUGUCUGAUAUGAUCAGCCCUCAUGCAGUUGCGAACAUCAGUCUAAUCGUGUCUGAUAUCAGCCCCAUGCAGUUGAGAGCAUCAGUCAAUCGUGCCUGAUAUCAGCGCCUUUGCAGUUGCAAACUUCAGUUUGUCAUGUCUGAUGUUAGUUCCCUCACAAAUGCAAAUUUCAGUCCACCGUGUCUGAUAUCAGCCCCCUUGCAGUUGCAAACUUCAGUCAAUCGUGUCUGAUAUCAGCCCCUUCGCAGUUGCAAACUUCAGUCCAUCAUGUCUAAUUGAUACAAGAAUAAUGGUCGCCUUAGCUUUCGACGACAUCAUUCAAAGUCACUAUGUGAAGAAUCAAACUUUGGUCGCAUGGAGGGCACGGGAUCAUACUUGGAGGGGACGUUUUGAGCCUACCAUUGAUCAAACCCAAGUGUGAAAGAUUGCUUGGAGCCUUGAAGACUUAAGGACUCUCGGGUUUGGACCACCUUUGUUGGUUCACGGUUUUGGUAUCCUUUAUUAAGGGCAUUUUGGUCACUUAGCCUUAAGGGCAUUUUGGACAAUUCAUAUUGUUUUCCAACACACCAAGGCCACCCUUGGUCAUUAAGGGUAGUGUAGUCUUUUUUGCCUUCUUUUCUAAUAUACUAUAAGUAGGAUUUUUUUAGGUCUUCUCUCAUUAGUUUAUGAAAGAUGAAAGAUUGAAGCAUUAAAAAUUCUCUCUCUUGAGAGUAGAACACUUAGUCUUAGUUAGGGCUUGGAAAAGUUAGUAUUGAUCUUUGCUUGGAAACGGUGGAUCUUGAGGUGAGUUGAUUCCCUUGNNN